AGCGAACGCUGGCGGCAGGCCUAACACAUGCAAGUCGAACGAACCUUUCGGGGUUAGUGGCGGACGGGUGAGUAACACGUGGGAACGUGCCUUUAGGUUCGGAAUCACUCAGGGAAACUUGUGCUAAUACCGAAUGUGCCCUUCGGGGGAAAGAUUAAUCGCCUUUAGAGCGGCCCGCGUCUGAUUAGCUAGUUGGUUGAGGUAAUGGCUCACCAAGGCGACGAUCAGUAGCUGGUCGGAGAGGAUGAUCAGCCACAUUGGGACUGAGACACGGCCCAAACUCCUACGGGAGGCAGCAGUGGGGAAUCUUGCGCAAUGGGCGAAAGCCUGACGCAGCCAUGCCGCGUGAAUGAUGAAGGUCGUAGGAUUGUAAAAUUCUUUCACCGGGGACGAGAAUGACGGUACCCGGAGAAGAAGCCCCGGCUAACUUCGUG
rnacentral:rRNA from 1 species